AGCGAACGUUAGCGGCGGGCUUAACACAUGCAAGUCGAGCGAUAAUCGGGACUUCGGUCCUGAGGACAGCGGCAGACGGGUGAGUAACACGUAGGUAAUUUUCCGUUCGGUGGGGGACAACGGUUCGAAAGGACCGCUAAUACCGCAUACGUUCUAGGGGACCUCGGUCUUCUAGAGGAAAGCUGGGCAACUGGCUCCGAAUGAGAAGCCUGCGUCGCAUCAGCUAGUUGGUGGGGUAAUGGCCUACCAAGGCGAAGACGCGUAGCUGGUCUGAGAGGAUGAUCAGCCACACUGGAACUGAGACACGGUCCAGACUCCUACGGGAGGCAGCAGUGGGGAAUAUUGGACAAUGGGCGCAAGCCUGAUCCAGCCACGCCGCGUGAGUGAUGAA
rnacentral:rRNA from 1 species